GUUUUAAGUCUAUGUAUUCAAAAUCCCUCCCUCUGUCUAAGUUUUGUGACAAUAUCACCCCCUCUUACAUCCAAGUUGACCUGUUCGAUAAUUGGCCAAGACAAACUUUGGGACAUUUAUUGCAAUGUGUGGGAACUGAAUGACUUUGAAUCCCUUUUCUAAUAUUAUUCAGAUGUUCCAAAAAAUGCACUUUGGCUUUUGUCCUGUCCUCCCCACGUACUGUGCACCACACAUCAGAAGAUACACUACAUUAAUGGAGGAGCAAGUAACCCCUCCCUGAAUCUUAAAUUUUUCUCCUGUAUUUGUGCUAGAAAAUGUGUGGGUGUGGGGAGGUAUAAAUUUACAAGCUUUGCAUUUCCCACAGGUAUAAAAUCCCCUUCUUGUGCUAUUAGUUGUGAUGUAAUUUUUAAGUUGAAAUAGAUUGGGUGUAAGAUGGGUGGAAAGAUUUCUCCUUUUCCUGUAAAUUAUUUUUGGAAUGUUUGGCAGUUGUCGUCCUAGGAAUUCAUCAUGUUGUAAUAUAGACCAAUGUUUUUUAAAGAUUUAAUUGAUAGAGAAAGCCUUAGAAUUUUACUGUGUGUUGAACGAGAAAUCAAAUUGAUUUUUUAGGGUGGGCAUCUGUUUGGGCUUAUCAAUAAAGAGUUCUCCUCUACCAUUGUCUCCUAUUUAAUUUAUUUUUUUGAACCUCCACUUUUAGAUUUUCU